AUGGAACGCUGGCGGCAGGCCUAACACAUGCAAGUCGAACGAGUGGCGGACGGGUGAGUAAUGUAUGGGAAACUGCCUGAUGGAGGGGGAUAACUACUGGAAACGGUAGCUAAUACCGCAUACCAUCAGAUGGGCCCAGAUGGGCUUAGCUUGGUGGUGGGGUAACGGUGCACAAAGGCAACGAUCCCUAGCUGGUCUGAGAGGAUGACCAGCCACACUGGAACUGAGACACGGUCCAGACUCCUACGGGAGGCAGCAGGGGGGAAUAUUGCACAAUGGGCGCAAGCCUGAUGCAGCCAGGCCGCGUGUAUGAAGAAGGCCUUCGGGUUGUAAAGUACUUUUAGCGGGGAGGCGUUACCCGCAGAAGAAGCACCGGCUAACUCCGUGCCAGCAGCCGCGGUAAUUC
rnacentral:rRNA from 1 species